rnacentral:lncRNA from 1 species
AGAUAUUUUUAUACCUUUAUAUUAUAUAUUUGUAUAUCUGUAAAAAUAAUUGUUAUUGGUUUUAGAUUUAAAAAAACAGCCAGGGGAGCCACAUUAAGAUAAACAUAAAUCAAUCAAUCAAUAAAUAGAACAGAACUCUCUCUCUCUCUCUCUCUCUCUCUCUAAACUAAUAAAUACUAAUACAAUACAAUAAAUAGAACAAGACUACUCUCUCUCUCUCUCUCUCUCUCUCUCUCGUCAAAGGUAUCAAUGCCAAAGCGCGCCAAUAUUACGUCAUCGACCUGCUGGGUCAUCACGCGGACACGCAAGCACAGUGAAUGUAUCUGACAGGGGGAAUGAGUCAACCCACGUGCUGGAGCAGCAGGUCAAGCCUGUUGUGUUGGUGAGUAUGAAGUGCUGAAGAGACAUUUAUUGCUGUCGACCCCACGGGAAAACAAAAGACUUUCCAACCGUAUAAUGCCCAUGGCUAGUCCAACCACAGCUUUACUUUGUGAGCCUGGAUUUUAAAACAUCCCAUUAGAAGGCUUUUCUCUUUAUAACUGUUUUUUAUUCAGAUGCUGAAUUUACAGUGACAGUAGUUAAAAAUGUGAUUGUUAAAUCUUUAAAGUAAACAUGCAGUACGGCAGUAGAUUGAGGCUUUUUUAUGUCCAUUCUGUGUUUGUCCAACACUGCAACACAGAAGUCAGUGGUGACCUGCAAAGGGUCCUAGAAACGAGGCACCAUGUGCUCUGGCAUGCCGUCUUUUUUUUUUUUUUUUUUCUAACUCGCUGCUUCUGGCAGACUCCAUAGCUCUUGUUCGACCAUGAAACAGUUUUAUUAAAAAAAAAUUGUAACAUUUGAAACUC